UACGAAGGGGGCUAGCGUUGCUCGGAAUUACUGGGCGUAAAGCGCACGUAGGCGGCUCUUUAAGUCGGGGGUGAAAUCCUGGAGCUCAACUCCAGAACUGCCUUCGAUACUGAAGAGCUUGAGUCCGGGAGAGGUGAGUGGAACUGCGAGUGUAGAGGUGAAAUUCGUAGAUAUUCGCAAGAACACCAGUGGCGAAGGCGGCUUACUGGUCCGGUUCUGACGCUGAGGCGCGAAAGCGUGGGGAGCAAACAGG
rnacentral:rRNA from 1 species